rnacentral:rRNA from 1 species
AACGAACGCUGGCGGCAUGCCUAACACAUGCAAGUCGAACGAGCCCUUCGGGUCUAGUGGCGCACGGGUGCGUAACGCGUGGGAACCUGCCCUUAGGUUCGGAAUAACUCCCCGAAAGGGGUGCUAAUACCGGAUAAUGUCUUCGGACCAAAGAUUUAUCGCCUUUGGAUGGGCCCGCGUUGGAUUAGCUAGUUGGUAGGGUAAAAGCCUACCAAGGCGACGAUCCAUAGCUGGUCUGAGAGGAUGAUCAGCCACACUGGGACUGAGACACGGCCCAGACUCCUACGGGAGGCAGCAGUGGGGAAUAUUGGACAAUGGGCGAAAGCCUGAUCCAGCAAGGCCGCGUGAGUGAUGAAGGCCUGAGGGUUGUAAAGCUCUUUUACCCGGGAUGAUAAUGACAGUACCGGGAGAAUAAGCGCCGGCUAACUCCGUG